rnacentral:rRNA from 1 species
GACGAACGCUGGCGGCGUGCCUAACACAUGCAAGUCGAACGAAGUAAGUUGCUUCACCAAGUGUUGAAUAGCUACCCCCAAGCGCAUUUGCCAAAGGGUAAGCAAAAAGUACUAUCAAUUAAAUAAAAUGGUGAAACAAAAGAAUAGCGAAGAAGAAGCAAAUGCGCUUCACGCUAAUUCCAAGUACCAACACAAAACAAAUUCAAUGUUUGGUGAAGCAACUUGCUUAGUGGCGGACGGGUGAGUAACGCGUGAACAAUCUGCCCCGUACAAAGGGAUAGCCUCGGGGAAACCGGGAUUAAAACCAUAUAACACUUAACUGCCGCAUGGUAGUGAAGUCAAAUCGAUUAAGAGGUAUGGGAUGAGUUCGCGUCUGAUUAGCUAGUUGGUGAGGUAAGGGCGUCACCAAGGCGACGAUCAGUAGCCGGCCUGAGAGGGUGAACGGCCACACUGGAACUGAGACACGGUCCAGACUCCUACGGGAGGCAGCAGUGGGGAAUAUUGCACAAUGGAGGGAA